rnacentral:rRNA from 1 species
UACGUAGGUGGCAAGCGUUAUCCGGAAUACUGGGCGUAAAGCGCACGCAGGCGGUCUUGUAAGUUUGACGUGAAAGCUCCCGGCUUAACUGGGAGAGGUCGUUGAAUACUGCGAGACUUGAGUUUAGGAGAGGGGUGUAGAAUUCCCGGUGUAGUGGUGGAAUGCGUAGAUAUCGGGAGGAACACCAGUGGCGAAGGCGACUUCCUGGCCCUGUUCUUGGCGCUGAGGCGCGAAAGCUAGGGUAGCAAACGGGG